rnacentral:rRNA from 1 species
GUAGUCAUAUGCUUGUCUCAAAGAUUAAGCCAUGCAUGUCUAAGUAUAAGCAACUUUAUACUGUGAAACUGCGAAUGGCUCAUUAAAUCAGUUAUCGUUUAUUUGAUAGUACCUUACUACAUGGAUACCUGUGGUAAUUCUAGAGCUAAUACAUGCUAAAAACCCCGACUUCAGGAAGGGGUGUAUUUAUUAGAUAAAAAACCAACGCCCUUCGGGGCUCCUUGGUGAAUCAUAAUAACUUAACGAAUCGCAUGGCCUUGCGCCGGCGAUGGUUCAUUCAAAUUUCUGCCCUAUCAACUUUCGAUGGUAGGAUAGUGGCCUACCAUGGUGGCAACGGGUAACGGGGAAU